CCUAGGAACAGCCAGAGAGGAAGGAGAUGACAGGGUGGGGAGGGGGACAUGGAAGGGAGUGGUCCGCUUGGGCAAAUGCUGCCACAAGGUCAUGGCACCUGAGGCCAGGGAGGUGGCUGUGGCAUUUGGCCACGUGGGACCUUGGCCAGAGCAGGACCUGUAGAGGUCAGGUGCAGGGCAGAAACCUGGAGAGCGGGUUUGGGGAGAGGAGCAGGUUGAGGUGGUAGGGACAGAUAGUGCAGCGGCCUCUUCUGAAGCUAAUGGCUCCAGCCUACCCUGCCCAGGCAGCCUGGGACUGACACUCGCCACCUGUCCACAGUGCCCUGGUGGAACCUUCACGCCAUCUAUGAAGUCCACCAAGGAUUAUCCUGAUGAGGUGAUCAACUUCAUGCGCAGCCACCCGCUCAUGUACCAGGCCGUGUACCCUCUGCAGCGGCGGCCCCUGGUAGUCCGCACAGGUGCUCCCUACCGCCUCACCACUGUUGCCGUAGACCAGGUGGAUGCAGCCGACGGGCGCUAUGAGGUGCUUUUCCUGGGCACAGACCGCGGGACAGUGCAGAAGGUC
rnacentral:sRNA from 1 species